UGAGUGGCUAUGGCAACUAAUGAGGUUAACAAUAAAGACCAACAAGGCACACAACAGACAAGGACAGAAAACACACAGGAAACAUAGAGAGUUCAGGAGGAGUAUGAUGAUGUGAUGAGUGUCAGUGAAGAUGUGAGAAACCUGUUGGAUUAUGAUGAUGUGGAGGAGGAGUCAAACAAAGAAGUGGGGCAUUCAGCUCAGUGAUCAUCCACUGCCU